GCGCCCCGCCCGCCUCCCCUCCACUCCCUCCAGCUCCGUGCUCCCCACCCCCUGCACUCCCUCUCCUCCCCUCCCCUCCCCUCCCUCCGGCGCAGACCCUCCCCUCUCCCCUCCAGCCCGGACACGCCCGCCUCCCCUUGACUCCCCCCAGCUCUGGGCCCCCACUUCCCCUCCCCUCCAUCACAGUCACCCCCAUUUCUCUGCUAUCCUCCAUCCUGGUCCCUCCCUUCCCCCUAUCUCCCUUCCCCUCCAACACUGUGCCCCGCCAACGUUUUCUAACUGCCCUCUAUUCAGAUCCCCCCUCCGCCUCCCCUCUCCUCCCCUCCAUUCCCGUGUCCCCCUUCCCCCGCCGCGCCGCCUGGGCUGUCCGUGGGCUUGUCUCUCUCUCUCUCCUCAUUUAUUUGGAACGGUUGGAUAAGAAGUGCUCGGGCUCUCGCUCAGACUGAGGGAGCUGCCUCGAGGUGAUAUUUGAAUGACACCCCCUGGCACCAGCUACCCUUCUUAGACCCCCGUCCAGCCCGCUCCCGACGUCGACUGCGAUUCCGCUACCUCGGCGGGCAGCGAGGUUGGGGUGAGCCCCAGCUGCAGGCGCGUCUGGGCGGCGCCGCUGCAAACGAGUUGCGCACCUCGGGCGGCUCCGCACCUGCACCCGCACCCGCGGGGCUGAGCCCCGAAGGCUGCGGCUUCGGGGGAAGUGCGGUCGCCGAGGUCCAGCUGGUGGGGCGAGCGACGUCGCCCCUCGGAGGAUGCUCUCGGAACUUGGGAGAGGAAGGAGGGAAGAGAAGAGGGGAAAGGGGCCGUCGAUGUUUUUGCUGUCUGUGCUUUAAUGGAGCCCACCAGUAUUGAGAAGACGGGGUUGGCCGAGGCAGCCGCACGCUCUGCUCGCGAGCGCUCCAGUCAAAGCUGGGGCCAACCACGGCGUGUCCGGGUGCCCUGCGGGGCGGACACUUGGCUUAGCACCGGGACACAGAGUAGCCACCGGGGUUGGGAGAUGCGUUCACUUUGCUUACCUGUUGGCAAGAGGACAUACAAAAAUAACGUAAUGUGACAUCGUUGACAACGGUAGCUCUUUGAUUAGACAAAAGCCAAUUUUACCUUCCCGCAAAAGCCAGUUAACGCCGUUGGAACUUUUAUUUGCGGCAUUUUGGCGCCCUCUGGCUGUGUUUGGAUCGCUUUCAUGCUCGCCUUGCGUCCCAGCCAAGAAAAAAUCGAUUGAGUUGCAGGUUGUCCUCAAGAUGGUUCUGCCCUCAUGACCUGGGCGCGAAUUCAGGGACAGGGUCGCCCUCCAGAACCGGAGUGACAAACUGUAGCCAUACUUAGGGAGGCAGACGUCAAAGGCAAGUACAUCUGCACUCAGCCGGGGAAAGGUAAGUGU